UUAGCGGCGGACGGGUGAGUAACACGUGGGUAACCUGCCUGUAAGAUUGGGAUAACUCCGGGAAACCGGAGCUAAUACCGGAUAACAAUUUGAACCGCAUGGUUCAAAUUUGAAAGACGGCUUUUGCUGUCACUUACAGAUGGACCCGCGGCGCAUUAGCUAGUUGGUGAGGUAACGGCUCACCAAGGCAACGAUGCGUAGCCGACCUGAGAGGGUGAUCGGCCACACUGGGACUGAGACACGGCCCAGACUCCUACGGGAGGCAGCAGUAGGGAAUCUUCCGCAAUGGACGAAAGUCUGACGGAGCAACGCCGCGUGAACGAUGAAGGCCUUCGGGUCGUAAAGUUCUGUUGUUAGGG
rnacentral:rRNA from 1 species